UCCAAUCGAACCCGGAGAUAGCUGGUUCUCCCCGAAAUAGCUUUAGGGCUAGCGUCGGAAAGAACCUUAGUGAAGGUAGAGCACUGAAUGUGUGAUGGCCCCAUCCCGGGGUACUGAAUACAAUCAAACUGCGAAUGUCAUUAAGGAUGUCCGGCAGUCAGACUGUGAGUGAUAAGGUCCAUGGUCAAGAGGGAAACAGCCCAGACCGCCAGUUAAGGUCCCAAAAUACAGGCUAAGUGGAAAAGGAUGUGGGGAUGCCCAGACAACUAGGAGGUUGGCUCAGAAGCAGCCAUCCUUUAAAGAGUGCGUAACAGCUCACUAGUCGAGUGACCCUGCGCCGAAAAUGUACCGGGGCUAAGCCUGAUACCGAAACUGCGGAUUGUAGGAAACUAUAGUGGUAGGGGAGCGUUGUAUACGAGCAGAAGCCGUACCGUGAGGAGCGGUGGAUUGUAUAGAAGUGAGAAUGCCGGUGUGAGUAGCGAGAUGUAGGUGAGAAUCCUACACACCGAAAGCCCAAGGAUUCCAGGGGAAGGUUCGUCCGCCCUGGGUAAGUCGGGACCUAACGCGAGGCCGAAAGGCGUAGUGGAUGGAAAGCAGGCGAAAGAUUCCUGCACCCGUAUAUGGAGCGAAGGAGUGACGGAGACGGAUAGUGUGACCCUCUUAAUGGAUUGAGGGCGAAGCGAAGCGGCUGGUUACCAGGCAAAUCCGGUAACCAUAAGGCUAGAGCGUGACAGGUAAGCGAAAUCUUCGGAAAGUAGCGAAGCACAUGAUGACGGCUUCCAGGAAAAGCUUCUGGCAAUGCAUAUGCGGCCCGUACCAAAACCGACACAGGUGGGCAGGGAGAGAAUCCCGAGGUGAGCGAGAGAACUGUUGCCAAGGAACUCGGCAAAAUGACUCCGUAAGUUAGCGAGAAGGAGUGCUUAAGCAAUUAAGCCGCAGUGAAGAGGCCCAAGCGACUGUUUAACUAAAACACAGCUCUCUGCGAAGUCGCAAGACGAAGUAUAGGGGGUGACACCUGCCCGGUGCUGGAAGGUUAAGAGGAUCUGUUAAGAGCGAUCUGAAGCAGUGAUCCGAAGCCCCAGUGAACGGCGGCCGUAACUAUAACGGUCCUAAGGUAGCGAAAUUCCUUGUCAGGUAAGUUCUGACCCGCACGAAAGGUGUAACGAUUUGGGCGCUGUCUCGGCAGCAGACUCGGUGAAAUCUUAGUACCUGUGAAAAUGCAGGUUACCCGCAACUAGACGGAAAGACCCCAUGGAGCUUUACUGCAGCCUGAUAUUGAAUUCUGGUCAUACAUGUACAGGAUAGGUGGGAGACAAAGAGACGUGCACGCCAGUGUACGAGGAGUCGACGUUGGGAUACCACUCUUGUGUGACCGGGGUUCUAACCUGGUAUCGAGAACAGGUACGGGGAGAGUGUCAGGUGGGCAGUUUGACUGGGGCGGUCGCCUCCCAAAGAGUAACGGAGGCGCCCAAAGGUACGCUCAGAUUGGAUGGAAACCAAUCGUCGAGUGCAAUUGCAGAAGCGUGCUUGACUGUGAGACAGACAAGUCGAACAGGGACGAAAGUCGGGAAUAGUGAUCCGGCGGUGCCGAAUGGAAGGGCCGUCGCUCAACGGAUAAAAGCUACCCUGGGGAUAACAGGCUGAUCUCGCCCAAGAGUUCACAUCGACGGCGAGGUUUGGCACCUCGAUGUCGGCUCAUCGCAUCCUGGAGCUGGAUUCGGUUCCAAGGGUUGGGCUGUCCGCCCAUUAAAGCGGUACGCGAGCUGGGUUCAGAACGUCGUGAGACAGUUCGGUCCCUAUCUGUUGUGGGCGAAGGAGAUCUGCGGAGAGCUGUCCUCAGUACGAGAGGACCGGGAUGGACCUACCGCUGGUGCACCGGUUGUUCCGCCAGGGGCAUAGCCGGGUAGCUAAGUAGGGAAAGGAUAAGCGCUGAAAGCAUCUAAGCACGAAGCCUACUCCAAGAUGAGAUCUCCCAUUCGCAAGAAGUAAGACCCCUUAAAGACGAUAAGGUAGAUAGGCCAGGGAUGGAAGUGCAGUGAUGUACGGAGUUGACUGGUACUAAUCGGUCGAGGACUUAAUCAG
rnacentral:rRNA from 1 species